rnacentral:rRNA from 1 species
AGAGUUUGAUCUCUGGCUCAGGAUGAACGCCGGCGGUGUGCCUAAUACAUGCAAGUCGUACGCACUGGCCCAACUGAUUGAUGGUGCUUGCACCUGAUUGACGAUGGAUCACCAGUGAGUGGCGGACGGGUGAGUAACACGUAGGUAACCUGCCUCGGAGCGGGGGAUAACAUUUGGAAACAGAUGCUAAUACCGCAUAACAACAAAAGCCACAUGGCUUUUGUUUGAAAGAUGGCUUUGGCUAUCACUCUGGGAUGGACCUGCGGUGCAUUAGCUAGUUGGUAAGGUAACGGCUUACCAAGGCAAUGAUGCAUAGCCGAGUUGAGAGACUGAUCGGCCACAAUGGAACUGAGACACGGUCCAUACUCCUACGGGAGGCAGCAGUAGGGAAUCUUCCACAAUGGGCGCAAGCCUGAUGGAGCAACACCGCGUGAGUGAAGAAGGGUUUCGGCUCGUAAAGCUCUGUUGUUGGAGAAGAACGUGCGUGAGAGUAACUGUUCACGCAGUGACGGUAUCCAACCAGAAAGUCACGGCUAACUACGUGCCAGCAGCCGCGGUAAUACGUAGGUGGCAAGCGUUAUCCGGAUUUAUUGGGCGUAAAGCGAGCGCAGGCGGUUGCUUAGGUCUGAUGUGAAAGCCUUCGGCUUAACCGAAGAAGUGCAUCGGAAACCGGGCGACUUGAGUGCAGAAGAGGACAGUGGAACUCCAUGUGUAGCGGUGGAAUGCGUAGAUAUAUGGAAGAACACCAGUGGCGAAGGCGGCUGUCUGGUCUGCAACUGACGCUGAGGCUCGAAAGCAUGGGUAGCGAACAGGAUUAGAUACCCUGGUAGUCCAUGCCGUAAACGAUGAGUGCUAGGUAUUGGAGGGUUUCCGCCCUUCAGUGCCGGAGCUAACGCAUUAAGCACUCCGCCUGGGGAGUACGACCGCAAGGUUGAAACUCAAAGGAAUUGACGGGGGCCCGCACAAGCGGUGGAGCAUGUGGUUUAAUUCGAAGCUACGCGAAGAACCUUACCAGGUCUUGACAUCUUGCGCUAACCUUAGAGAUAAGGCGUUCCCUUCGGGGACGCAAUGACAGGUGGUGCAUGGUCGUCGUCAGCUCGUGUCGUGAGAUGUUGGGUUAAGUCCCGCAACGAGCGCAACCCUUGUUACUAGUUGCCAGCAUUAAGUUGGGCACUCUAGUGAGACUGCCGGUGACAAACCGGAGGAAGGUGGGGACGACGUCAGAUCAUCAUGCCCCUUAUGACCUGGGCUACACACGUGCUACAAUGGACGGUACAACGAGUCGCAAGCUCGCGAGAGUAAGCUAAUCUCUUAAAGCCGUUCUCAGUUCGGACUGUAGGCUGCAACUCGCCUACACGAAGUCGGAAUCGCUAGUAAUCGCGGAUCAGCAUGCCGCGGUGAAUACGUUCCCGGGCCUUGCACUCACCGCCCGUCA